CUGCAAAAGCCCACGAAAUUGCUAAACCAAUAUGACCAACCAUCUGCUGCAUCAAUCUUUACUAAAAACACAAUAUUGGCACCCUGGAGAAAAGCAUGGUUCCACAAGCUCCAGACCAGCUUCUACAACCAAAGAGAAAGUCAGACCUUGUUGGAAAAACUCCCAAAGGUUCAGUGCUCAAAAUUGCGGGAAUAAAUUGGUUGAAUUCAGCCCAUUGAAAUUCAUUUGCUGUUCACAAGCUGUUUGUAAUUUGUACUACGAAUGGGGUUUGCCAAGGUGAAGAUGUGCUAGUUUUAGGAGGCCAUUCGUCAUAAGGAAUUUUAGGUCCUGUAGCAUUUCUUAUCGAUGAAGGAUGUGUCAAAAGUCACGAUCAUCAUUCAGGAUUUCGAAUCUGUCCAAGCUCUGACAAUAUCAUCCAAGUGUCUAUCGCAAGCCACACAGUCCCCCUCGCCUACGUGACUUUUGAUGUGACUCAAGAGUGAAUGGCCCUGAAGCUCAGGAUGCUGCAAGAUGAUCAUGGUUCGGAUACUAAGGAAUGUGUAUUUAUGCUCAAAAAUCCACUGCCAAACCAGGCCAAUUUGAGAUUUUUCAAUGGCGGACACGGCUCAACCCCUCACAUUCCGGACUACACCGAGAGCGAAGGGAUCGUCAGAUUGGCAUCAAAUUUCACAGAA